GAUGAACGCUCGCGGCAGGCCUAAUACAUGCAAGUCGAACGGGAUUGCGGUAGUAGCUUGCUACUACUGCAUGAGAGUGGCGCACGGGUGCGUAACGCGUGAGCAACCUACCCAUAUCAGGGGGAUAGCCCGGCGAAAGUCGGAUUAACACCGCAUAACAUCAACAGUUCGCAUGUUCAGUUGAUUAAAUAUUUAUAGGAUAUGGAUGGGCUCGCGUGACAUUAGCUAGUUGGUAGGGUAACGGCUUACCAAGGCAACGAUGUCUAGGGGCUCUGAUAGGAGAAUCCCCCACACGGGUACUGAGACACGGACCAGACUCCUACGGGAGGCAGCAGUAAGGAAUAUUGGUCAAUGGGCGCAAGCCUGAACCAGCCAUGCCGCGUGCAGGAGGACUGCCCUAUGGGUUGUAAACUGCUUUUAUCAGGGAAUAAACCCCUUUACGAGUAGAGGGUUGAAUGUACCUGAAGAAUAAGGAUCGGCUAACUCCGUG
rnacentral:rRNA from 1 species